rnacentral:misc_RNA from 1 species
UGUGCAGACACUGAAGUUAUAGUUUUCCCAUUUUCUUCAGGCAUAAAUCCUAAGCUUCCCUCUGCCACGACUGCAUUUUCAUCAGAAUCGCCAAUACUCAAGUUCUUAGCUUCAAUUUUAUCUGCUUUGCUAUCAAUUGGACUCAUCAUCCCAUGCAAAGCACGAAAGGGACUAUGAAAUUGCAACUUAAACCCUUUUCUAGAGAGGGAGAAGUAGGCAAUUGCAGCGACCAGAGCGGCGACGCAAGUCCCA